AGGUUGCAACAACCAGUGAUUUGAGAAAAAGAAUACAGCUUUAUGCUUGGUUUGUGAGAAAGUAUAGUGAGAUCUCAUUGGCGAGAGACACAGGACUGAGAUAGUCCACUAACCCUUCUUCUUCUAUAUUCUAUUUUUUUUAUUUUGUUUCUAUUGCUAGUGGUUGCUGUGAUUAAGAUUUAUUGAUCAUGUUUAAGAUCCUACCUGGGACUAGGUCCUUCGUGAUCCAGCCUUACAUUAUGUUUGCAGAAGUUAUCACAUCUUUAUCGCCUAUUACUUGGGCAUGUUGGUGCUACAUUUCAAGAGGUAAUAGGGUUAACUAUCGACCCUUAAAAUGCUACCUUGAUUGGAGUCUUGUGUGUGGAGUAGUGCCCAUCGCAAGGUCUCAUAUUCUUCAGCCUUGUGUUCAGGCUGAAGGUUGAAGACAGUUGCCUUCUCCCUUUUUUAUGUAUGUUACUUUUGGGUUUAUUUUUUUGUUGCCCUUUGUUUAAUUGAUUUCCCUUCUUUCUAUUUCCCCUCCCUACCUCUUAUCCUCUUUCGUCCUUAGAUAUUCAUGAAAUGAGUAAAAAUGACUUAAAAAGUAAAUUUAAAUAUUUUUGCAAGAUCUAAUUUAGAAAUGUAAUAACUAUCAGAAUCUUGUGAAUUUUUAGAAGUUAUCUUUGGGGUUCUCUUUGAGGUUGAAAUUACUUAUCCUACUAAUUUUGUGAAUCUUGUUCUGUGAUUUUUUUUUAUUAUUUCUAUCUUAAAGCCUUUGACUUGGAAUAUUCGUGAUGCUUAAAUUUGGAUUUUAAUGUUUUUCCCAAGCCUCUUAUAUCAUAUGUGCUUUAUCCCUAGCUUGGGCUCUGAGGGGUUUAGUGGUGGACUAUGGUGCUUGUUGAAUGAUGUUAUUACAGUUACUUUUGUGCAUGUAGGCACUCGCUUUAUUGAGAUUUUUCUGCUUGCAAAUCAUGCGACUUUGUUAGAUUAUCAGGUACUUAAGGGAAGUGGUAAAUUUUACUGCAGGGGAAAAAAUGCCUUGUUGAAGGCCCUCUCAAUCUUGCUCGUUUCUCCCUCCCUCUCUUGCCUUCUCUCUUCCUCUUCCUUGCCCCUCCCUUUUUCUGAAACUCUACUCUCUCCAAUUCUUUCUUUCCCCUCUCCACAGCUUUCCUUUGAUUUGCUAUCCCACCUGUUGUUGCCACUCAUUUCUCUCUCUGGCCCUCCCCCGCAACAAACAUAUUUGGAGUUUAAAGUUAUAUGCCUUUGGUUAGAUUGUUAUGUUAUAUUAUUAUUUGGGGAAAAGGAUGUUACUAUAACUACUAAUUUCAGUUCUUUUUAUUUCUCAGUUUUCCUACGGAUUUUAGGAAACCUAAUUCAAGUAUACUUCUUUAAAUUAUGACUAUUCUGAUAUUGUUUUCUAUUGCUAAUUACCGGACAGAUCGAGGGUCUGGAGGCUCUGGCAGUACUGCAAAGAUUCAAGCGUCAUCGUUGGGAGAGACAGGAUCAGGCGAUUCUCCCCUUCUCCUUUUCUUUACUCCUCUUUGUCUCCUUGAUUCUUUGUUGCUCGGUGAUUCUUUCGAGGGUAUAUGGAGAUUGAGAGGUUUUCAGCCAUUUGAGUGAGAAAAUGUCAACUUCAAAACAAGCAGUUAAUGAGACUGCAAAAUGGAGCCAAGCAAAUGUAGACACCCUUAUUGUUCUGAUGGUAGAGGAAGUUAAGAAAGGAAAUAGGACUACUUCGACUUUUAAUAAAGCUGGUUGGAACAACAUUGCCAAUAACUUUAAAGAAAAAACUGGGGUCAACUAUGCCAUUAUACAGUUGAAGAACAAAGUGAACAAACUGAGGUAGGAUUAUAGUCAGUUUAAGAAGCUAUUGGAGACAACUGGUUUUGGUUGGGAUACUGCUUCAAGAACUUGUACUGUUGAUGAUGAAUCCAUCUGGGAAUCGCAUAUUAAGGAUAACCCUACUUGGGCACGAUUUAAGAAGCAUGGACUACCACAAUGGCCAGAACUAUGUAUGGUAUUUGGUGAUACAUAUGUAGACGGCGAAUGAAGUGGGACUCAAACAACCAUGUUGGAAACUUUGGGGGCCGAUGAUGAUAGGAAUAUGAUUGAAUCUUGUGAUGAGUCAAGUUCCGUUGAUGAAGUUACUCCAUUAGGUGACACUCAAACUGAAGCAGUGGAAAAAAGGCCAGCUACUAAGCAUAGGCAUGAUAGGACUCCAAAUGCGAAAAGGAGGAGGAGUAAGUCUAAUGAUUGGUCAAUGGCAUUCAAGGCAAUUCAAGAUAUGAGUAAAUCAAGGGUAGAACGGGAUGCGAGCAUGUCCACUGCUUCAACCCA